rnacentral:lncRNA from 10 species
AAACUUUUGCUGACCAGGCUGUCUAAGUUGUCCUAGUCUGGGCAAAACUGAUGCUCAUCAGGUAACAAAGACAGCUGCUAUAAAUCAAAUCUUGUCAGGGUUAGGUCCUGGAUGUCAGAUCAUGUUUAUCAGGUAUGGUUAGCAACUAAGCCUGUGUUGUAGGUUAAUACAAGAAUUCAGUGUAACAUCUUACACACAGCAGGAACUUAAAAAUGAAUACCCAGUUACAGCUAAGAAGACUUAGAUUGCGUUUGACAGCAAUAUGUACUUCUCAGUUGAUUAUAAUCUGGCCUUCACUCUCAUUACUCCACUGAAGAGGAGCCCACAAAUAUCAUCAGUGAUAUCCUUUUUGCUAAAUUCUUAUCUUAAUUCUUUCUGUAGCAUUUGGCAAUGUUCAACCUUCUCUUUUUCUCAAGGUUGACUUCCUGUUGACUCCAGUGAUUCCACUUGGACUCAGCUUUCUUCUGUGGAUGCUCUUUCCCAGGUUAUUUAAUACCUUCUUUUCUUCAUCAUUUAUCUUUUUCUGAAUAACCAUCUUUUAUAGGUUGAUCUUCAGGUUAACUCUCAGACCUCUGUUGUCCAAAAAUGUAUCCAUACAUAUUCUGGGUGAUUUUAUCUGAAUGACAUUAUCUACUUCAAUGUCUCCAACUACAAACUGUUACAGUGGUGAUUUUAAAAUCUCUCUUCAGAUUUUUAAAACAUCUCUUAUUUAAGCCCUGGUCCAUUGGUCAACACAUAUAAGCAAUUUACAAAUUAAACUUUUCUUUUAAAUUUCCACAAUCUGUUUUUAUUCUUAUAUUUCUUACUUGAUAAAGAUGUGUUGACACAAAUCAUUAUUGAUAUAUUUAAUUCACUUUCUUUUUCUUUUCUUUUUUUUUUUUUUUUUGAGAUGGAGUCUUGGUCUGUUGCCCAAGCUAGAGUGCAGUGGCACAAUCUCUGCUCACUGCUACCUCUGCCUCCUGGGUUCUGGGUUCAAAUGAUUCUCCUGCCUCAGCCUCCUGAGUAGCUGGCACUACAGGCACACACCACCAUGCCUGGCUAAUUUUUGUAUUUUUAGUAGAGAUGGGGGUUUUGCCAUGUUGGCCAGGCUGGCAGGCUGGUCUUGAACUCCUGACCUCAGGUGAUCCACCCACCUCGGCCUCCCAAAGUUCUGGGAUUACAGGCAUGAGCCACCACACCCAGCCUUAUUUCACUUUCAUUUGAUAACAUCUUAGUAGUAUCUCUUAAAUGUAUGUUCCCACACCCUCAUCUUUAUUACCAACUCUGGCUCUCAUCUCUCUCAUGCAACAAACUCUAAACUUAUAUUUAAUCUUGCAUUCAUUAAUUAAGAACAUUCAUUCCCCAGUUUUGAUAUUUCUUUCAAUGUUAUAGGGCAUUCUUUAACAUGACACUAUCUGCUUAUAGCCCUUCAAUGGCCUUUAAGGGUAACAAGGAUAAAAUUCCUUACCUAUAAUAAUGACAUUAAAUAACCUUUGAUGGUUCCCAGCCCAUCUUUUGGCUAUUGUAUAAUUA